rnacentral:tRNA from 1 species
GGGUGAUUAGCUCAGGGGGAGAGCAUCUCGUUUACACCGAGAGGGUCGGCGGUUCAAUCCCGUCAUCACCCACCA